CCUACGGGAGGCAGCAGUGGGGAAUAUUGGACAAUGGGCGCAAGCCUGAUCCAGCCAUGCCGCGUGUGUGAAGAAGGCCUUCGGGUUGUAAAGCACUUUUAUCCGGAAAGAAAAGCUUUGGGUUAAUACCCUGAAGUCAUGACGGUACCGGAAGAAUAAGCACCGGCUAACUUCGUGCCAGCAGCCGCGGUAAUACGAAGGGUGCAAGCGUUACUCGGAAUUACUGGGCGUAAAGCGUGCGUAGGUGGUUUGUUAAGUCUGAUGUGAAAGCCCUAGGCUCAACCUGGGAAUUGCAUUGGAUACUGGCAGGCUAGAGUGCGGUAGAGGAUAGUGGAAUUCCCGGUGUAGCAGUGAAAUGCGUAGAGAUCGGGAGGAACAUCUGUGGCGAAGGCGACUAUCUGGGCCAGCACUGACACUGAGGCACGAAAGCGUGGGGAGCAAACAGGAUUAGACUACCCUGGUAGUCCACGCCCUAAACGAUGCGAACUGGAUGUUGGGUGCAACUAGGCACUCAGUAUACGAGACGUAACGUACGUUAACGUUACGUCCGCCGUCGGGGAGGUACGGUCGGCGAACGACGUAGAACGUAACGAAACGGAAAGUUAGUACGGACGUAGAGACGCGACCGACGGACGACCGACGAGGGGAGGGAGGG
rnacentral:rRNA from 1 species